GUGAACCUGCGGAAGGAUCAUUAAUAAACCUAGUCGUUCGCGUACACAGGGGCAACCCUCGCGCGAUGUCAGCAAUACCUAGGUCACCCUUGAAUAAACUACCCUUGUUGCUUUGGCGGGCCGCCCCUCGGGGCCAGCGGCUUCGGCUGCUGCGCGCCCGCCAGAGGACCACAACUCUUGUUUUUAGUGAUGUCUGAGUACUAUAUAAUAGUUAAAACUUUCAACAACGGAUCUCUUGGUUCUGGCAUCGAUGAAGAACGCAGCGAAAUGCGAUAAGUAAUGUGAAUUGCAGAAUUCAGUGAAUCAUCGAAUCUUUGAACGCACAUUGCGCCCUUUGGUAUUCCGAAGGGCAUGCCUGUUCGAGCGUCAUUAUAACCACUCAAGCCUUCGCUUGGUAUUGGGGUUCGCGGCUGCGCGGCCCCUAAAAUCAGUGGCGGUGCCUGUCGGCUCUACGCGUAGUAAUACUCCUCGCGUCUGGGUUCCGGUAGGUUGCUUGCCAGCAACCCCUAAAUUUUUUACAGGUUGACCUCGGAUCAGGUAGGGAUACCCGCUGAACUUAAGCAUAUCAA
rnacentral:rRNA from 1 species